GAGAGAGGCGAGCCGCAGCGGAGACUGCUAAUCUCCGUCUCCUUGGUUGAACUCCAGGGCUCACUCG
rnacentral:tRNA from 1 species